rnacentral:rRNA from 1 species
AACGAACGCUGGCGGCAUGCCUAACACAUGCAAGUCGAACGAGACCUUCGUGUCUAGUUGCUCACGGGUGCGUAACGCGUGGGAACCUUCCCUUAGGUUCGGAAUAACUCCCCUAAAGGGGUGCUAAUACCGGAUAAUGUCUUCUGACCAAAGAUUUAUCGCCUUUGGAUGGGCCCGCGUUGUAUUAGCUAUUUGGUAUGGUAAAAGCCUACCAAGGCUACGAUCCAUAGCUGGUCUGAGAGGAUGAUCAGCCACACUGGGACUGAGAAACGGCCCAGAAUACUACGGGAAGCAGGAGUGGGGAAUAUUGGAAAAUGGGCGAAAGCAUGAACCAGAAAUGCCGGGUGAGUGAUGAAGGUGGGAGGGUAGUAAAGCUCUUUUACACGGGAUGAUAAUGACAGUACCGGGAGAAUAAGCUCCGGCUAACUCCGUG